GCCAGUGUGGCGUAGUGGUUUGAAUGUUGGACUACAACUCUGGAGACCAGGGUUCAGUUCCCAGCUUGGCCA
rnacentral:tRNA from 1 species